UCUGUGGUGCCCUGUGGUAGACUGGCGACCUGUUCAGGAUGUACUCUGCCUCUCCCGCACACUGACCGCUGGAGAUGAGCACCAACCUCCCAUACCCCAAUCACCUUGCAAGAAAUAGCACGUAUAGACAAUGGAUGAAUAAAUGGAUAAACACCAUGGAGAUCUUCAGACUUUCUACCAAUGUAGAGACGGGUUCUUUGCCUCAGAAAUAAGCGUGAUUUAUGGAAAAUAUGAAUAUCAAUGCUGGAAACAAACCAUUGAACAAGACACAAAGACCUUAUGAAGAUGCUGGCUGAAGCUGGCUAAGCUGCUAAGAGAGUGUCAUCCCCCUGUGAAAGAAGCCUGGUACCAAUAUGUGUUGAAAUGUUAUUCAGAGAGGUUAUUAAGAGAGCUGUUAUUCCAAGAUUAACAUAAAAAGCCAGAUUACUAUUUGUAAAAUGCUCUGAGACAUUUUUUUUUUAUUUCUGAAGACAUGCACUAUGAUCUCAUGAAAAUAUUAUUGAAGUGUUUGUCCAUAUUAAUUAUAAAUGAAAAAAGUGGGUUGCUUACAACUCUGAAAAUACAAUCCCAACUGUGGAGUACCAAGGUGGCAGCAUCAUACUGUGCGGGUGAUUUGAUGGAGGAGGCUUGUGCACAUCACAAAAAAUUAAAGAACAAUGAAUGUGUAAAUACUCUACCAACAUCUCAAGACAUCACCCAGGAAGUUAAAUCAUGUGUACAAAUUGACCCUAAUCAUGCCACCAAAUGAAUUACAAGGUAGUUUAAAGACAAUAAAGUCAAUAAAGUUGUUUUGGAGUGGCCAUCACUAGGCCCUGAUCUCAAUGCCAUGGAAAAUUUGAAGGCAGAGCAGAGAAGGGGAAAAGGUGUGUAGGUGCAAGGUUUUCAUUCUUUCAAUCAUAAUCCAAAGUUCAUGCCCAUAGGUGAGGGUAGGAACCUAGACAGACUGGUACAGCUUGAGCAUUACAGUGGCGACUGCACUGAUUUGUCUGUUGAUCUCCCACUCCCCUCACCUGUGAACAAGACCUGAGAUACUUGAACUCCUCCGCUUGAGGCAGGAACUCACCUCCAACCCAGAGAGGGGAAGCCACCCUUUUCCAGCCAAGAACCAUGGCCUUGGACUUGGAGGAGCUGAUCCUAAUCACGUCACCACUUCACACUCAGCUGCAAACCGCCCCAGUGCAUGCUCGAGGGAGCCAACAGGACCACGUCAUCUGCAAAACAUAUUUGUCCAUCAAAGUUAUGAACAGGACCAGUGACAAAGGGCAGCUCUGCUAGAGUCCAACGUGCACGGUAACAGGUCCAACUUAAUGCCGGCAAUACGAACCGAACUCCUGCUCCGCUUGUACAGAGGACCGGAUGGCCCCUAAUAAAAGGCCCCGGACUCCUUACUCCUGGAGCACACCCACAGGGCACAAGAAAAAAUGUAGGCAAUCCUGACUGAUUUAAUGGGAAAGGUUUUGUCUGAUUUAAUGUCAACUGGUGAGAAAGAAAAUCAUGUUUGUAAAAAAGAUUGUUUUAAAUUAGAUAAAGAUGUGGAUUUAGACUGCUGGAAUGAGCGACUUGAUUCUUUCUCAGCCAUUCUGUUACAGCCUUGAUACCGUGGUUAGGAUUACUAUUGUUUUAAAUUAUGAAUUAAAUUAAGCUUCUGUUGUUGAUUUAAUGACCAAGAAACAAGUGUUUCCUUCUUGUAUGCCAUGUAACCAGAUAUAAACCUUAGGCACUAACACUGCUUCCUUGCUGCCAGGAUGUCCUGUAUUUAAUUUUCAUUUGAAGUCUUGUGGUUUGUUCAGGUGUUUGUAGAGAAGAAAAGUCUUCUUCCUAGGAAUAUUUGCAAUUUAUUCAAAGGUGCUGAAACUUUUUCUGAAUGUAGAGUUAUCAUUUGAAAUUAGGCAAAUUAACUGAGGCCUUUAGGUCGGAUAUCAUUGGCUGAAGAAAUAAAAAAUACAUAAAUUAUUUUUUUCUCAUUUUUAUCAUGGUCAGAGACACCUGAAUGAUCCAAACCACAAAGUCAAAACUUCCAGCUGACUUCAAACCAACUCACACUAUUUGUAGAGCUCAAUAAUGUUAUUACAGAGCAAAUAUAACCUAGAACCAACAUGCUCAAACUCCCUGAUGAUUUAAUCUCAAUUUACUUCUAAGAACUUGGCUUAUUUAACUUUUGAAUGUUUUACAUACACUCAAAGGGUACAUUAAGAGUACAUUUCUGUCCCCUGAGGUACAGUCUGGACUUAUGUACCUCUAUAGGGGUAAUAAUUGGACUUUAGGGCACAUAUUUGUACUUUUUGAUGGUCUGAAAGAUACAUUUUUGUUCCAAAAUAGUAAAUGGUACAUAUUUGUACUCUUUAUUAAUAAUUUUAGGGUACACUUUCAGAAGAUGGACAACAAGGAAAGAAAAAAUGAUAAAACAAUGUAAUUUGAAGGUAACGGAUUCAAUAUAUAUUUUACAACAAAUGGCUAUAGUAGAGUAUUAGCAAAAAUUAAAUACCGUUAAGUGUAUUUGUGCGAUAAAAAAAAAUCUAACAUAUUUAAAUGCAGUUUGCAUUAUUCUAUUUCAUAUACUGUGAUUUUGCUCAUAUGUCACACUGGCAAAUGAGUAGUACAUGCUCCUAGAGGCGGAGCUUUUUUCCCAAAUUUAAUUUGAUUGGUUGAAUUAUCUGUCAAAUAUGUACAGCCAACACCGAUUGGCUGUCUUUUGAAUUUGACAAGCUAGACUGUCAAAAUCGAUUUUUUUACUGGUUUGUGGAGGUAGGCAAGCUAUGGCGUUUAUCGAUCUGUCAACCGAGGACCUAUUAUGAAAAAUUAAAGAAGAAGGCAUUGACGUGUCGGAAGCAGAAGCGCAGAGAUUCAGAGAUAAUGAUGUGGAUGGUGAUACAGUCGAUUGGAUCUUUCAAGGAUCUUUUCAAGGAUCUUUCAAGAAUCAACUGAAAUUUAAUCCGUUUUUGUCCAAGCAAAGGAGUCAACAAUAUCAAUUACUUUAGAACUUGUGCCUCCAGGAGAAUGGCAGCAAAGUACUUCUUCAGCAUCUUCCAGGUUCCAAAAGUCCUUUGUGAGGAUCCGUUUUCCAUUGAGGCUUCAUGUAAAGGUCCUACACAGCCAGUAUCAGAAGCUGCAACCAGACACAAAAAUCGUCAAAGACCGUAUGCAGCAGACCUUUUCAUGGCAGCGAAAGGAGAUUGCAGAUGGCAUGACUUUGGCGGAAACACUUGAGAAGUACCAUUUCUUAAGAACAUCAAGGGGUCUGUGUGAUGAAGUACAGCGUAUUCAUCCUGCAAUGGAAAACGUGCAACAACAAUUCAGUGAAGGCUUCGCCCGUAUUAUGCCUAAAGUGCUUCACCUGACACAAGGGAAGUCUCCUCUGUACCAGCUCUACCAGGAGGCAAGAAAGGAGGCUCUCACUGAAGAUGUACCAGAUAUUGACAGAAGAGCAGCCCUUUUUUUCUCCCAUACAUCUUCAGAGAGAACACUGAUCUCUUUAUCAUGCUUGGAGAGUGUGAUUCUCCAUCUCCAUACCCAACAAUUCACUUGACUAGCCAAGACUGGAAAAUGGCCUUUACAAAGAGAGCUACAACCAUUGUGAAAGCAGACGACGUUGUGGUUUGUCACACCCAAGCAGUUGAUGAAGGGAUCAUCUCAGCCUUCUGCACGUACUUUGUCUUCAACCUGGCAUACCCAAGACACCUGAAGAACACCCUAGUGUUCCUCCGAAGAUACAUUGCAAGAAUAGUUGAGGAUGGGGACCGGCCUCUACCAAUAACUGUCACCAGGAAAAUAAAUCUCCUCUAUUGACGCUAUGUCUCGUCCCAUGUCUGUGUGAAUUUGAAAGUUUGCCUGGAAAAAGUGUGGCAACUCCAUUUUUAUCUUUACCUGUUGAACUGCAGAAAGCCCUGUCAUUUAAUCACAAUCUUUGUAAUGUGGAUUUCACAAACAAAGUUUUUCAACACGUGUCUGAAUUAACGAUAGACAGUGUUAAGUAUGCCAUCAGAGAUGUUUUUAUUAUAGAUGUCCUGCAUUCAGAGGCUCUGCCACUAUUUUGGCAAAUAAAAUACAUCUUCAACAUUGACACCAUAUGGAUUCUUUGUGGGAAAAUGCUGAUCCCCUGUCGUUUGACCGCCACUUUGAUGCAUACAGAGUAAAAGUGGAUGCAGAAUGGUCUUUACUGAAAGCAGAAGAUGAAAUGGACUUUCAGGCAAAUGACACAUACUCUGUUGAUGACAUUUUGUAUGUUACAGUUCGAUAUUGUGUGCAAGUAUCUAAUGAAAUGAAAACUUGAAAUGUCAAAAUAGAAGAUAAAGUUUCAUUUUGUACAUUACCUGAGAUAAUGUGUGAGUGCGGUGGUUUGGGGUGGUUUUAUACAGUAAAAGUCAAUGAAAAGUAAAUUUUUUUUUUCACUUUUGUAAGAGGGUACAAGAUUGUCACCAAAGGUACAAUUCUAAUCUUACGAGGUACAGUCUAUAAGGGUACAAGUAAGUACCCACUGUUGAUGGUACAAUAGUGACAAGCCUUUGUACCCUUAAAGGUACAAUUAGGUACUUUUUUUUUCUGAGUGUAGGGCUCUGUUUCAUUUUUACACACUGCUUCUGUAUUUGGCUUAAGAAUGGCAAAGUGGGAAGAGUAGUGGUUUUGUAAUCUGAAAGCUGUGGGUUUGAUUCCAGCUUCCUCCUGCCACAUCUGCCCACUGGGCAAGGCACUUACCCUCAGGUUGCCUACCAAUCUGUUUCCUGGUGUGUGGACGUGUAUGUGAUUGGGUGAAUGUGGCUCUAGUGUUCAGUACAGAUGACAUGCUCUUUUGCUGUAUGUAUGGUGCUCAGUUGCAGUUUUGUUCUGAUGUAGAAACUUAAGUUUGAAAAACAACUUAGUUUUUUUUUUUUUUUUACCACACAUGCUUGCUUAUUAUAAAUUCAAAACCUCAGAGAUAAGACAUCAUCAUUACAUAGGAACAAUAAAGAAGAAUGCAGAAAUAGGGAAGACUGCUGACUUGACAGCAGACAGUGAUUAUUAAAGAAGCUGGCUGGCCACAGUGACAGUUGCGACAGUGGUGGUGGUUCGUCCUGUAACCGUUGGGUUGCUGGUUUGAACCCCUGCUUCAUCUGUCUCAGCUGUUGUGUCCUUGUCCUUGGGACGCCCAACCCACCUUGCCUGCUAGUGAUGGUCAGAGGGCUCGGAGGUGCCGAUUGUAUGGCAGCCUCACUUCUGUCAGUGUCCAUGGCAGCUGUGGCUACAGUGUAGCCUAUCACUGUCAGUGUGUGAAUGGGUGGAUGACUAGUGUAGUGCUUUGUGGUCUCUGGGGACUUGAUAACGCACUAUACAAUUGCAUGCCAUUUACCACAUAAAUUGAAAAUUAAGUGGAAGGACAAAAUGGGAGAGAAAAGACAUUCACAAGAACCAGAAAUGGGGGAACCACAGCCUUGACAGACUUGUGCAGCAAAGUCCAAACAGAGUUUGGGGAAGAUUCUAAAAGUACUAUUUUCAAAAUGAAAUUGAGUUUACAUAUCAUUUAGAAAUCUAUGUCCCAGUCUGGAGAAAGAGUAGGGAUACACAGACUCUAAAUUGUUUAAGGUCCGGUGUGAAGUGUCCGCAGUCAAUAUUGAUUUGGGGACACAUCUGCUAGUGUUGGUUCACAGUGUCAAGUCCAUCAUCAGCACAGCUGUCUUGCAGGAAAUGUUUGUGCAUGUCACUCUUGCUGAUAAGCUGAUAAAUGUAAUGGAGAUAUUGAUUUAAUUUUCGAUCAGGACUUGGCACCUGCCCACAAUAUCAAAAGUACCAACACCUGCUUAAAGGCCAUGGUAUUACUGUGCUUGAUUUGCCAGCAGACUGGCCUGACCUAAUCCCUAUAAAUAAUAUGGAGUAUUGUAAACAGAAGGUUGUGAGAUGCAGCAAUGAAGUCAACCAGAGCCUCUUUAAACUUGUAGAAGAGUGACUGGCUGAUCACCUCCAUCACAUCCAUACUGCUUUGAUUCAGUAAUUCAUGCAAAAGGAGCUCUGACCAAGUACUCAGUGCAUGUACAGUAUCAUACAUAGAUUAUAAUUUUCUGUGAAACUAAAUUUUUGGUUUUCAUUAGCUGUAAGCCAAUAAUCAUCAAAAUAACCAGGAAUGAAUGCUUUCAGUAUACCUGCCUGUGUAUAUAAUGUAUCUGUAUAACUCAAUUGUUUCACUUCUUUAAUAAAAUGGCUGAAAUAAAUUACCUUUUUUGCUGAUAUUC